rnacentral:lncRNA from 1 species
AUAGCGCUACAUUGUCUUACGACAAGCUAACAUAACUUCCACUAAUUACUAACUUUAAUUUGAGCAUUUAAUUUCUUGUCAUUUACUUUUAAUGUCAUUUAUUUCUUGCUCAUUAUUCAUAUUGAUUUUCCCUUUGCUCAUUUGAGCUCACUAAUUACUAACUUUAAUUUGAGCAUUUAAUUUCUUGUCAUUUACUUUUAAUGUCAUUUAUUU